AGUGGGGAAUCUUGGACAAUGGGCGCAAGCCUGAUCCAGCCAUGCCGCGUGAGUGAUGAAGGCCCUAGGGUCGUAAAGCUCUUUCGCCAGGGAAGAUAAUGACGGUACCUGGUAAAGAAACCCCGGCUAACUCCGUGCCAGCAGCCGCGGUAAUACGGAGGGGGUUAGCGUUGUUCGGAAUUACUGGGCGUAAAGCGCACGUAGGCGGAUCAGAAAGUUGGGGGUGAAAUCCCGGGGCUCAACCCCGGAACUGCCUCCAAAACUAUUGGUCUAGAGUUCGAGAGAGGUGAGUGGAAUUCCGAGUGUAGAGGUGAAAUUCGUAGAUAUUCGGAGGAACACCAGUGGCGAAGGCGGCUCACUGGCUCGAUACUGACGCUGAGGUGCGAAAGUGUGGGGAGCAAA
rnacentral:rRNA from 1 species